CUCUCUUCGGCAAUGGUGAGGGUGUCGGUCCAUGGCGACGUCUAAAAGGAUAUUGAUGUAUUGCCCGGUUGAUUGGCCCUCCCGGAUAACGCGAAGGUUAAAUUCAAUCGUAGCUACGAAACUAGGUGGUUCAGUUGUGCGGCUGUUCCAGAAACAAAAGAACAGAGACAGGUCUGAACACGAGGUGCAUGGACUGCAAACGAGUCUGGAAGCGGUGACGCCGUGCGGAUUUGUUGUCCUACGGGGUGACAUAGACGUCGCGUCUGCAUCUAUCGCAGCGGCAAAAAACCGUCUGGACCUUCUCUCCGGGUGGUCCUCGAAAUUACGGACCAGAUAUUUGGACGGCUGCGGGCUUCUGGAAAUAUCGGCACGACGCGAAAGGGAUUCUCCAUCCGUUAUCGAUUUCGCCCAUGGUGAUCGAGCCUGAUGGUGCGGUAAACUCUGGAGAGAAGGGAAAAAAGAAUGGCUUUUAUUUACGAGGGGCACAGAGGCGUUCUGCCGACAAGCUGACUGCAAAGAAACUCGGAGUUGAAUACCGCGAGGAACGGAGUUAGGGGUGGCAGGAGCAACUCGCUGGGGGAAGAAGAAACGUAUUUCCCGGCGGGAAGACGCAGGAAUUACCGUGGAAAGGAGAAAAAUAAUGAAAUCUCUCCUGAAAAUCUGUUAUUCCGCGUACGAAAAUUACGAUAAUAUCGCAAUUGAAGCGAUAUCAUUGCUCUUCGCGACGAGGAAGAAGAAGAAAUCCAUCAUCCGAGAUCGCACGUUUAUAAUAUGCUAUUGUCAGGUAAGAUUUCAACGUAGGUUUGACGGCAGAAGGUACAUACAACAUAUUCGUAUUCUUUGUAAUUACGACCAAUUUAGAAGAUUUAAAAUUACUAUCCACGCUAUCGUACUGUUUACGACCAAAUACCUGCUGUAAGAAGCCCUUGUAAUAAAAAUAUUU